CCUACGGGAGGCAGCAGUGGGGGAUAUUGCACAAUGGGGGAAACCCUGAUGCAGCGACGCCGCGUGGGUGAAGAAGCGCCUCGGCGCGUAAAGCCCUGUCAGCAGGGAAGAAAAUUACGGUACCUGAAGAAGAAGCCCCGGCUAACUACGUUCCAGCCGCCGCGGUAAUACGGAGGGGGCAAGCGUUAUCCGGAUUUACUGGGUGUAAAGGGGGCGCAGACGGCGAUGCAAGCCCGGUGUGAAAGCCCGGGGCCCAACCCCGGGACUGCUCGUGGAACUGCGGGGCUAGAGUGCAGGAGGGGCAGGCGGAAUUCCUGGUGUAGCGGUGAAAUGCGUAGAUAUCAGGAGGAACACCGGUGGCGAAGGCGGCCUGCUGGACUGCAACUGACGUUGAGGCCCGAAAGCGUGGGGAGCAAACAGGAUUAGAUACCCUGGUAGUC
rnacentral:rRNA from 1 species